rnacentral:lncRNA from 1 species
UCUACAAUGUUUUUGAUACUAUAAUAUUCUACAACUUUGGUGAAUAUACCACAGUUGUGUUUCUUCUGGUUUUCUUAUUGAAGGAGAUAUUACUUUAAAAUCAUACCGUAUUACAGGCCAAAUAACUCGCAAAGAUGCAUUUGAAAAUGAACCUACCUGUCACAUCGUGGCUCUACACCCCUUAAAGAGUAUUUGAAUCAGGGGGUGGGAAACUCGGCUCACUUGAAAUUGUGCCGAAAUGUGCCGGCUGUGCGAGAGUGAGCGAUCAAAUUCAUAUGUCACAUUUUUCUGGUUGCACUGCAAAAACUGGCAACUGUGAUCGUUUCACGACAGAUUGUUUUUGUUUAUUUAUGAAAACUUUUAAAGCACCAACUGCAGUCUGAACAACUUAUAACUCGACAGAAGCCGUUAUUAAAUUUUCUGAACAUAUUUUCGUCCUAUGGUAGAGGAGCCGAGUGGAUGCCCACCAGGGCAACGGAUGUUCAAGGGAUAAUUGCUGAUUGCUGAUGAAGAGACGAGGAAGUUGGGAACCUUAUUGAGAAUCAAUCUGCCCCUGUUUGUAUGAACUUCGAUCAAACUCUACAAUGUCACCGGAAUCUACAAUGCCGCCGGAAUGGAUGACCUGGCAAGGAUACCGGAUAUUACCAGUCACGGAGUGAUCGAGAGAGGCGAGAUCCUGGGUGAUAUAGUUUACGAGAUGGUACAGUGGCCCAGCCAUAUUCGUACAGGGCGUUGUUUUCACAUCAAUACUCACGAAUAUCGCUAUUACAAUGGAUCCAUCAGCAAAUAUGUAAGUCAUGCUGCUCAGUGGAGGUUUACAUGCCAAAGACUUGCUACAUGUGACAUAGUAAUGG